rnacentral:rRNA from 1 species
UACGAACGCUGGCGGCGUGCUUAACACAUGCAAGUCGAACGGUGACGGAGAGCUUGCUCUCCUGAUCAGUGGCGAACGGGUGAGUAACACGUGGGCAACCUGCCCCAGACUUCGGGAUAACGCUUCGAAAGAGGUGCUAAUACCGAAUACGAACGCCGUGGGCAUCCACGGUGUUGGAAAGUUUUUCGGUCUGGGAUGGGCCCGCGGCCUAUCAGCUUGUUGGUGAGGUAAUGGCUCACCAAGGCGACGACGGGUAGCCGGCCUGAGAGGGCGACCGGCCACACUGGGACUGAGACACGGCCCAGACUCCUACGGGAGGCAGCAGUGGGGAAUAUUGCGCAAUGGGCGAAAGCCUGACGCAGCAACGCCGCGUGGGGGAUGAAGGCCUUCGGGUUGUAAACCUCUUUCAGCAGGGAAGAAGCGAAAGUGACGGUACCUGCAGAAGAAGCACCGGCUAACUACGUGCCAGCAGCCGCGGUAA